rnacentral:rRNA from 1 species
AGCAGCCGCGGUAAUUCCAGCUCCAAUAGCGUAUAUUAAAGUUGUUGCAGUUAAAAAAGCUCGUAGUUGAAUUUCGGGAUUCAUACGUUGGUCGGGCUUUUUGGUCUGUACUGGCGUAAUGGAUUCCUACCUUCUGAAUAACCGGCAUGCCAUUAAUUUGGUGCGCCGGGGAAGCAGGACUGUUACCUUGAAAAAAUUAGAGUGCUUAAAGCAGGCUAUCGCCUGAAUACAUUAGCAUGGAAUAAUGAAAUAGGACGGCAUGGUUCUAUUUUGUUGGUUUCUAGGAUCACCGUAAUGAUUAAUAGGGAUAGUUGGGGGGCAUUAGUAUUCAAUUGUCAGAGGUGAAAUUCUUGGAUUUAUUGAAGACUAACUUCUGCGAAAGCAUUUGCCAAGGAUGUUUUCAUUAAUCAAGAACGAAAGUUA